rnacentral:piRNA from 1 species
UAGUAAGAGAGAAGGCAUCUGUGCUG